rnacentral:rRNA from 1 species
UACGUAGGUGACAAGCGUUGUCCGGAUUUACUGGGCGUAAAGAGCGCGCAGGCGGUCGAUCAAGUCGAGUGUGAAAGCCCCCGGCUCAACUGGGGAGGGUCAUUCGAUACUGAUCGACUCGAAGGCAGGAGAGGGUAGUGGAAUUCCCGGUGUAGUGGUGAAAUGCGUAGAUAUCGGGAGGAACACCAGUGGCGAAGGCGACUACCUGGCCUGUUCUUGACGCUGAGGAGCGAAAGCUAGGGGAGCAAACGGG